rnacentral:rRNA from 1 species
UACGUAGGGGGCAAGCGUUGUCCGGAAUCAUUGGGCGUAAAGCGCGCGUAGGCGGCCCGGUAAGUCCGUUGUGAAAGUCAAAGGCUCAACCUUUGAAUGCCGAUGGAUACUGCCGGGCUGGAGUCCGGAAGAGGCGAGUGGAAUUCCUGGUGUAGCGGUGGAAUGCGCAGAUAUCAGGAGGAACACCGGUGGCGAAGGCGACCAUCUGGACGGAUACUGACGCUGAGACGCGAAAGCGUGGGGAGCAAACAGG